UACGAAGGGGGCUAGCGUUGUUCGGAAUUACUGGGCGUAAAGCGCGCGUAGGCGGACAUUUAAGUCAGGGGUGAAAUGCCGGGGCUCAACCUCGGAACUGCCUUUGAGACUGAGAGGCUUGAGUACGGGAGAGGUGAGUGGAAUUCCCAGUGUAGAGGUGAAAUUCGUAGAUAUUGGGAAGAACACCGGUGGCGAAGGCGGCUCACUGGCCCGAAACUGACGCUCAUGCACGACAGCGUGGGGAUCAAACAGG
rnacentral:rRNA from 1 species